GGCUGGAUAGCUCAGUUUGGUAGAGCAUCAGAACAGCAAUCUGGAGGUCGCAGGUUCAAAUCCUGCUCCAGUCA